GAUGAACGCUGGCGGCGUGCCUCAAACAUGCAAGUCGAGCGAGGCUAUGAAUUACCGCAAGGUAAGGCAUAGCCUAGCGGCGAACGGGUGAGUAACACGUGGGUAACCUACCUGGAAGACAGGGAUAACGAUUCGAAAGGGUCGCUAAUACCUGAUAAUAUCCGUCUGCCGGAUGGCGGAGGGAAGAAAGGGGAAACCCGCUUUCAGAUGGGCCCGCGUCCCAUCAGCUAGUUGGUAAGGUAAAGGCUUACCAAGGCGACGACGGGUAGCCGGUCUGAGAGGAUGUACGGCCACACUGGGACUGAGAUACGGCCCAGACUCCUACGGGAGGCAGCAGUGGGGAAUCUUCCGCAAUGGGCGCAAGCCUGACGGAGCAACGCCGCGUGAGUGAAGAAGGCCUCGGUUGUAAACUACUGUCAUCAGGAAGAAGAAAGUAGACGGUACCGUCGAGGAGGAAGACCCGGCGUAACUACGUGCCAGCAGCCGCGGUAACGAUAACUCGUA
rnacentral:rRNA from 1 species